rnacentral:tRNA from 1 species
GGAGGUUUAGCUCAGUGGCAUAAGCACCUGCCUUGCAAGCAGGCAGUCGUGAGUUUGAUCCCCAUUACCGAUA